rnacentral:rRNA from 1 species
AUGUGUGCUGAUUUUGUCAUGGAUCUUGGCGCUGCAAAGUCCGACUACCACAUAGGAUCUUUUGAUGGCCUUUUCACCGUCGAAAUACGCCACAGAGGAUUUUUUUUUGGAAGUGACUGCAACAUGACUUAUAUGGACUAUGAAGUGGACCGGUUUGAUAAUUGUGAUAGUGACACUUGGUCAGUACUGUGGAUUGAUGAUUUUCUCAAGCAACUAGGUUAUGACAGAUCCGUGGACAAGCAUGAUGUCUAUUGGUGCCAGCCUGGAAAGUCAGUAGCCGAUGGACUGAAAGAGAUUAAGUGUGAUGCAGAUAUCUUGUUAAUGAUUUCAGCAACAACUAAGCAUAAAAAUUCUCUAUUGAUUAUUGACCAUGGUGAUACUUGGCAAACUCUGACCACAGAUGAUGUGCUGCUAGAUGGAGCUACUGAGCUGCCUAGAAUUAUAACCCCAUCAAAAGUUAGCAAGGGAAAAGAAACUGCAUGGUCUUCAGAAAAUCCUAAUAGUCCAAAACAGAAGAGAGAGAAGAGAGUUAGGAGGUCCAUGUACUUUGGUGAAGGAUCCAGUUCAGGUGUUGGUCAUGUUGUUGAAGAAAUGGAAGGAGGAGAGAGUAGAGAGGCAGAGGGACAAGAGGAUAAUUGUGAUGAAGAAACGGAUGAGGAGUUCUAUGAUAGUGAUUUUGAUGCAGAAGAUGGUGAUGAUGAUUUGUUUGACAAGAUUGUGGACAAAGAAGUUGAUGAUCAUAGAGAAAGUGAGUUCAUACCUCUCCUUAUACAUCCUACUUACUAG